rnacentral:rRNA from 1 species
AUACGGAGGGGGCUAGCGUUGUUCGGAAUUACUGGGCGUAAAGCGCGCGUAGGCGGAUUGAUCAGUCAGGGGUGAAAUCCCGAGGCUUAACCUCGGAACUGCCUCUGAUACUGUCAAUCUUGAGUUCGAGAGAGGUGAGUGGAAUUCCUAGUGUAGAGGUGAAAUUCGUAGAUAUUAGGAAGAACACCAGUGGCGAAGGCGGCUCACUGGCUCGAUACUGACGCUGAGGUGCGAAAGCGUGGGGAGCAAACAGGAUUAGAUACCCUUGUAGUCC